AAUGAACGCUGGCGAUAUGCUUAACACAUGCAAGUUGAAUGAAUAAGAUUCAUAGCAAACGGGUGAGUAAGACAUAAGAAUUUUGUCCUGCAGCAUCCAUCAAAAUAACUAAAUAAUUGAAUAGCGGAAUAAUUUAAAGGUAAUGCCACAUCUGUAAGGAAGAUGCAGGUGCGAUAUGUUAUCGGCUGUAGAUAAGCUUAUGUAGGAUUAGGUAGUUGGAGU
rnacentral:rRNA from 1 species